UGCAAACUGGCCUUCCACACAAAGCACUCUGGGCAAACCCCCAUCAUGGGGGGUUGUGGUGAUCCAGUGAGCUGUAAAAUAGAGUUUCUGUCUGUUUGGAAAAAGGAACUCCAGGCUGGUGCGAUGGAGUCAGGUGGAGUCCAGGCUGGCCAGUGGUCGCUUCGAGUGGGGAAAAUUCCAGUCGACCAUCACAAAGCGCAGCAAUUGGAACGCAUUGUUCACUCUGCUGACAGGGAAACUGGCCUGAUUUACAGCGCUGCGGUGUCACUUUCCCACCAUCGGGAGGAGACGUAACACUGCUGGGGGUCACCAGCUCAUCUGUGAACAAGAAAACGAGUGAGGGACGAAAACUCCUCACCUCCUCUGCAGCCAAGGAUCUCAACACGCAGGUUGAACGUGUGUCUGAACUCCACGGGGAUGAUACGCAGGU